UCAGACGUGAAUACCCGCUGAACUUAAGCAUAU
rnacentral:rRNA from 7 species